UGAAUGCCCCAACUCUCCUAGCUCUAUGUUACGAUCCCCCUCCUCGUUAAGUAAGUCUCGAAAGUACGCCUGCCACCUCUGCUUGACUUGAAACUCCCUCAUCAGAACUCAACCAUCCUCGCCCUUGAUGCACCUAACUUGGUCAAGAUCGCACGCCUUCCUUUCCCUUGCUUUAGCUAACCGAAAUAACUUCUGGUACCCGCCUUUCUCCCCUAAUUCCUCGUACAUGCGACCAAACGCCGCAUUUUUAGCUUCCGUAACCGCCAGCUUUGCUUCUUUCCUCGCCACCUUGU
rnacentral:lncRNA from 1 species